GAUUGAGCACCUGGUGGGAAGGCGGGGCCAACCCAGGGGAGCUCCGUGCAUGCAGUGCACCUGAGUGACUGGAAGGGAUGGAGCCAGGAUCCACCCCUUCCCAGACCUCAUGUAAGGGUUGGCAGUGGAGGUGAGGGCUUCUUGCUGGAGAUCCCUGCCUACCUGAGGCCUUCUGAAAGUUCUGUUCUCAUCAAGGAAUGCCUGACAAGGAGAAGAUGUGAAUAGGAUGCAGCUGAAAGCUUUUGAGCCCUUGGGAUUUAGGGGUUAUGGAUGGCUGCACACUUUGGAAGUUAGAGAAGAACUGUCAGACGUCAGUUGUGGAAGUGACUCUCAGCAAGUCUUUCCAUGAAUAUGUAUGAAUUGCAAAGCAGCACAGUGAUGGCCCUGGAGCCUAGAAUUCUCAAUCAAAUACUGCAUAGAAUACAAGCAGAAAUAAUUCAAACCUUUAGUACCUGCCAUGGUUUCAUGUGGAAGUGAUCAGAGAGGUACUUUGCUUAUAUGAUGACUCUGCAUUUGGGUAAUACUUCAAUUGUCAUGUAAAUUUUAGAGUAAGCAAAUAUCAAGUCCCAACAUAUGUUUGACUUGUGUAAGAUAAGCUUAAGUUAACAGUAUCUCACCCCUUUGAGGUAGGAAGAUGUAUUGUGAUGUUAAUGAUUCUGUGUCUUCCUUCUCUCGCUAGCUCUACUUCCUUGAGACUUCUGUUUUGUCAGCUAACUUAACUCUUGUAUAUCAUAGAAGUCACACAGAAGUGUAAUCCUGAUAGAGGUAAUCACUUUUGAUUACUGUGAGGCAAUGUAGUAGCUUGAGUAAUUGUACGGUGUGCAAGGCUAGAAGAAAGGAAGUUGUCUGUGUUGUCAUUAUUCACAUACGUGAAUCUGAAUUAGUUGUCCGUAUAUCUGCCUCAUUUAAAAUCGAUAGUUCUUUAAAUGUUCACCCGAAAGUGCGAUUUAAAGUCAAAUUUGUCUAGAUAGGUUUUACAGUGCCUUAAAAAAAUUUAUUACCAGCCAAAGUGGUAGCAAAAUGCCCAUACUACUUAUGAUUUGGCUGGUAUCCUGACUUCCUCGCUUUCCAGAUUAUUUUUGGAUAGUUUGGCAAAUCUGUACUUUCGGGCAGUUCAGCACAGCUCCUCGUAAUACAACAUAAAUUGAACCGUAAAAACUAAUGGACUGGAAUACAUCAGGGCUUUAAAGACUUAUGGCCAGUUCUAUAUAUCUUGUGCAGUGAAAGUGGCUAUCAGCCUUAGGUUUGUCAUACAAAAAAAUCAACCUGAGGUUGAAGAACUAUGCAAGAUUUCAUGUAAUGGCAGUCUGUCUUCACUGGAGAAUGAUCUGACUUUUCUUGAAAUAUGACUCUUGCAAGUAAAUCCUGAUUUAAGCCCAGUGUUAUGGAGGAUUAAUGUUGUUCUCCUUGUUGAACGGUGCUGCACUAAGAAGAGCAAAAGAGAAAAAAAAUGCUGCUACAUUAAUAGGCAAUUCAGCAGAAGGGAGCAAGUAGUCAGGAGACCUUGCCAAGUUCCCCAAGCGGUCAGCGAGAGCUUCAGAAGUUGACUUUGAGUCACCUUUGUUCUGCAGGAGCCAAACUUUUUUGAGAAGCAGAUGCCCUCUUUCUUCCGCUCCGCUGUUUCUUGAAGGUGUUGGUAUGCUACUGUUAAAGAAUGUCACUUCAUUGAGCUGUAACCUGCCCAAGUGCCGAGUCGUUCUGAUUAUGCUUUGUGAGUUGGUCAGCAUUAUUUAAUUUUUUAACUUCAUGCUUUGGUGGCAGGAUUUCCUUGGGCUGUGUAAAUCUUUAGAAUUGCUACUAUUGUCUCAUCUUAACUGCUUUUCUUCCUCGUCUUACUAUGUGUUCAUUGUCAGCAGUCCCUGCCAUCUGUACCCCAGGGAAGUAUAUCAGCUUGAUGUCAGUUAUGUGGAAAAUUGAGGAAAGGAAGUGAUGCUCUCAACUAGUUUAGGAUGCAUGGGAUCAUUUCUGCAAGAUCUCCGACUGCUGUCAUAGUUAAAAAGCAAUUUGGGGUGUGUGUUUGUAGUGUUUCUUUUUUUCUUUUUUAACCUGAACUGUUUCCAGGGGUGUAAAUGCCAAAGAUGUAAGUAGAAGCUUAUAUUAUGUUACUACAAGCGUAAUAAAAUCUUUUCU
ensembl:lncRNA